AUACGUAGGUGGCAAGCGUUGUCCGGAUUUACUGGGUGUAAAGGGCGUGUAGGCGGAGAUGCGAGUCAGGAGUGAAAUCUAGGGGCUCAACCCCUAAACUGCUUUUGAAACUGUAUCCCUUGAGUAUCGGAGAGGCAGGCGGAAUUCCUAGUGUAGCGGUGAAAUGCGUAGAUAUUAGGAGGAACACCAGUGGCGAAGGCGGCCUGCUGGACGACAACUGACGCUGAGGCGCGAAAGCGUGGGGAGCAAACAGGAUUAGGUACCCUGGUAGUCCACGCUGUAAACGAUGAAUACUAGGUGUGGGGGGACUGACCCCCUCCGUGCCGCAGUUAACACAAUAAGUAUUCCACCUGGGGAGUACGAUCGCAAGAUUGAAACUCAAAUGAAUUGGCGGGG
rnacentral:rRNA from 1 species